UACGUAGGGUGCAGGCGUUAAUCGGAAUUACUGGGCGUAAAGCGCGCGUAGGUGGUUUGUUAAGUUGGAUGUGAAAUCCCCGGGCUCAACCUGGGAACUGCAUUCAAAACUGACAAGCUAGAGUAUGGUAGAGGGUGGUGGAAUUUCCUGUGUAGCAGUGAAAUGCGUAGAUAUUGGAAGGAACACCAAUGGCGUAAGCAGCUAUCUGGACCGACAUUGACGCUGAGGCACGAAAGC
rnacentral:rRNA from 1 species